rnacentral:rRNA from 1 species
AUUGAACGCUGGCGGAAUGCUUUACACAUGCAAGUCGAACGGCAGCACGGACUUCGGUCUGGUGGCGAGUGGCGAACGGGUGAGUAAUGUAUCGGAACGUGCCCAGUCGUGGGGGAUAACGUAGUGAAAAUUACGCUAAUACCGCAUACGAUCUAUGGAUGAAAGCGGGGGAUCGCAAGACCUCGCGCGAUUGGCGCGGCCGAUAUCAGAUUAGGUAGUUGGUGGGGUAAAGGCCCACCAAGCCAACGAUCUGUAGCUGGUCUGAGAGGACGACCAGCCAAACUGGAACUGAGACACGGUCCAGACUCCUACGGGAGGCAGCAGUGGGGAAUGUUGGACAAUGGGCGAAAGCCUGAUGCAGCCAUUCCGCGUGCAGGAUGAAGGCCCUCGGGUUGUAAACUGCUUUUGUACAGAACGAAAAGGUUUCUACUAAUACUAGGAGCUCAUGACGGUACUGUAAGAAUAAGCACCGGCUAACUACGUGCCAGCAGCCGCAGUAA